rnacentral:snRNA from 1 species
GGAUGUGAGGGCGAUCUGGCUGCGACAUCUGUCACCCCACCGAUCGCCAGGGUUGAUGCGGCUGCUCUGGCUGGCUGGGCGGGUGUCCCCUUCCUCCCUCACCGCUCCACGUGCGUCCCUCCUGAAGCUGCGCGCUGGGUCGAAGAGGACGACCAUCCCCGAUAGAGGAGGACCGCUCUUCGGUCAACGGUAUACGAGUAGCUGCGCUCCCCUGCUAGAACCUCCAAACAAGCUCUCAAGACAGGGGAGGUUACUGAUACUGCAUUUAUCAAUUAUGCCCUUGAGCAACUUGCAGUCUUU